GAUUGUGUGGUGUGCUCUCUGCCUUCAACAUCUGUCACCCCAUUGUCACCAAGGUUGAUUUGGCUGGUCUGGCUGUCUAGGCAGGUGUCCCCUUCUUCCCUCACUUCUUCAUGUGCCAUGUGCUCAGUCAAAGAGGACCACCUCUCCUGAAUUGAGGAGGACCGGUCUUCAGUCAAGGGUAUAUGAGUAGCUACACUCCCCUGCUAGAACCUCCAAACAAGCUGUCAAGGAUCUAACAGAUGUUAUGACUCACAUCUAUCACAGACAUCUAUAGAACAUUCCACCCAAAGACAAAAGAAUCUAUGUUGUUCU
ensembl:misc_RNA 7SK 7SK RNA